rnacentral:rRNA from 1 species
GACGAACGCUGGCGGCGUGCUUAACACAUGCAAGUCGAACGGAAAGGCCCUGCUUUUGUGGGGUGCUCGAGUGGCGAACGGGUGAGUAACACGUGAGUAACCUGCCCCUGAACUUGGGAUAACUUCAGGAAACAGGGGCUAAUACCGGAGAGGAGCUCCUGAUGCACGGUGGGGGUUGGAAAGAUUCGGCGGUUGGGGCUGGACUAGCGGCUUAUCGGCUUGAUGGUGAGGUAGUGGCUUACAAAGGCUUUGAAGGGUAGCCGGCCUGAGAGGGUGACCGGCCACCUUGGGACUGAGAUACGGCCCAGACUCCUACGGGAGGCAGCAGGGGGGAAUAUUACGCAAUGGGCGGACGCCUGAUACAGCGACGCCGCGUGCGGGAUGACGGCCUUCUGGUUGUAAACCGCUUUCGCCUGUGACGAAGCGUGAGUGACGGUAAUGGGUAAGGAAGCACCGGCUAACUACGUG